rnacentral:rRNA from 1 species
UACAGAGGGGGCAAGCGUUGUUCGGAAUUACUGGGCGUAAAGGGCGCGUAGGCGGCCCGCUAAGUCGAACGUGAAAUCCCCAGGCUCAACCUGGGAACUGCGUCCGAUACUGGCAGGCUUGAAUCCGGGAGAGGGAUGUGGAAGUUCCAGGUGUAGCGGGUGAAAUGCGUGAGAUAUCUGGAAGGAACACCGGGUGGCGAAGGCGGGUUGCUGGG